UUCUGGUUGAUCCUGCCAGAGGUUACUGCUAUCGAGGUUCGACUAAGCCAUGCGAGUCGAAUGUAGCAAUACAUGGCGUACUGCUCAGUAACACGUGGAUAACCUACCCUUGAGACGGGGAUAAACCCGGGAAACUGGGUAUAAUACCCGAUAGAUCUCGACUGCUGGAAUGCAUCGAGCUCUAAAGCUCCGGCGCUCAAGGAUGGGUCUGCGGCCUAUCAGGUAGUAGUGGGUGUAGCGUACCUACUAGCCUACGACGGGUACGGGUUGUGAGAGCAAGAGCCCGGAGAUGGAUUCUGAGACACGAAUCCAGGCCCUACGGGGUGCAGCAGGCGCGAAAACUUUACAAUGCUGGAAACAGCGAUAAGGGGACCUCGAGUGCCAGGUUACAAAUCUGGCUGUCGUGAUGCCUAAAAAGCAUUGCAUAGCAAGGGCCGGGCAAGACCGGUGCCAGCCGCCGCGGUAACACCGGCGGCUUGAGUGGUAACCGUUAUUAUUGGGUCUAAAGGGUCUGUAGCCGGCCGGAUAAGUCUCUUGGGAAAUCUGGCAGCUUAACUGUCAGGCUUUCAGGAGAUACUGUCUGGCUCGAGGCCGGGAGAGGUGAGAGGUACUUCAGGGGUAGGGGUGAAAUCUUGUAAUCCUUGAAGGACCACCAGUGGCGAAGGCGUCUCACCAGAACGGACCUGACGGCAAGGGACGAAAGCUAGGGGCACGAACCGGAUUAGAUACCCGGGUAGUCCUAGCCGUAAACGAUACUCGCUAGGUGUCGGCCACGGUGCGACCGUUGUCGGUGCCGUAGGGAAGCCGUGAAGCGAGCCACCUGGGAAGUACGGCCGCAAGGCUGAAACUUAAAGGAAUUGGCGGGA
rnacentral:rRNA from 1 species